rfam:Xenorhabdus nematophila ATCC 19061 chromosome, complete genome
GUUUUCUUGUCGGAGUGCCUAGCGUUCACCCUCUAUCUCGUCGGUGGACACAGGCUGAGACCGUUUAUUCGGGAUCCGCAGAACCUGAUCGGGCUAAUACCCGCGAAGGGAACAAGAGUAAUUACUCC